CCCCUAGAUGUUCUGGGCCGCACGCGCGCUACACUGAACAGUUCAACAAGUCUUAACCUUGGCCGAUAGGUCUGGGUAAUCUUUGAACGCUGGUCGUGAUGGGGAUAGACUUUUGCAAUUUUUGGUCUUCAACGAGGAAUUCCUAGUAAACGCAAGUCAUCAACUUGCAUUGAUUACGUCCCUGCCCUUUGUACACACCGCCCGUCGCACCUACCGAUUGAAUGGUCCGGUGAAGCCUCCGGAUUGGCGCGCACCUCGGUGCCGCCGAGAAGUUGGCUAAACCUUACCAUUUAGAGGAAGGUGAANUCGUAACA
rnacentral:rRNA from 1 species